rnacentral:misc_RNA from 1 species
CUUCAAAAUAGUUAAAUAAUUUUAUCAAUACAAAAUUGAGUAUAUUCAUGGAUGAAAUGGAACCCCCAUCUCCACCAGGCUUAACUAAAUGAUCAAUCAUGCAAUUCGCAAGGGGCAAAGCAUGUUCCAACGUUUGGGGUGUAGGCCUUUCCUUGCAUUAUUAUACAUACACAAUAGUAAACUCUCUUUUAUCACCCAAGUUUUCCUUCCCUCCUCCGUGACUUGGGCUGUAUGUAAGCAGUAAGCACCCAUAUUAACAAAAUGCCCUAUGAGCAGUAGUGUAAUACCAGGAGAUGGAUCCAUGCACAUGUUCUCUCUAAAUUAAUUUCCAGCUGCAUUUUCUUCGAAAUAACACACACACACACACAGAGACAAGGGAACUGAUAUCCCUACUUACAAAAUGUUUGCCACCAUUUUCAGCUUAAAGCCUUAGUUAUUUCUAGCUCCAACCUUAAACCAAAGCACGUCAUUUUGAUGAAAAAAUGGACAGCCGAAGCAUCAAUCUUUUUGUGGCGUGCAUCCUAUUCAGAUUCAAUAGAACUGAGGGCAGACCUAUCAUAUCUCCAGAACAAGACAAUUUGGCACUAAGAUAAUACCAGACUAUGUCAAUAAAUUAUUUUCAAAGGGCUAACCCAAGAACAAUGGAAGAUGAAUCACACAACAACCAAUUCCCAAAAUAAACAAUUUUUCUAUUUUUAAAUGGAAAAAGCAAUUAAUGCAAGAUGCAUGACACAACACUCUACCAUUUACUAAUUCUUAUUAUAUUGAUUUUACCAUUUAAAAAUUUCUCAGCCAAAUUUAACAGCAGAUUUCUAUUCUUUUUCUGUCCAAAUGAUUAAGAUACAAAUUUAUUUCAAUGCGUCCCUUCACACCUUACAUAAAGCAAAUACCUAAAUUAAAGCUAUCCUGAUAAAUGAGAAGUAAAAGAACAUUCACAAAUUGAGAAAAAUAGCAUAGAAAGUGUCACUCCUAAGCCAAGAUUUCUGUAAGGACAAUUCAAAGAAAGAAAGAAGGAAUGAAUGAAUUAAUUAAUGAAAGAGAAAGAUGAAUUAAUAAUAAAACUACCGGGUCAAUUUCAACUAAUUCACGAGGUGCAACGUUGAUGACAUUGAGGAUCUCAGCUUUUGCAAGUUUGUAUGUCUUAUACUUCUCCAUAAAUUCAUGGAUUUGCUCUCUCGUUUGCCUGCAAGCAGGAGUCUCCACCAAAUAAACAGAAACAUCUUCAUUGGAAUAUGAUUCUUCAAUUCCCCUGAAAAUGAGACCAACAAGAAAAACCAGCAGAAAAUUAAGAAAAUCCUGCUUCAGAAUUAGAAGCUAAGCUGUAAUAAAACUAAAGUUGCUUAUCGAAUUUGCGAUCAGCUUAAGUCACAUAUUGGUAGCUCCAAAAACUCAGCUUAACACAAGAGGCAAUGGCGGCGAAGCACACUAGCACAAGCAGCAGUUUUGGGAGCUAUAAAAGCUUGAAUCGAUGGGAAGAAGAGGAAAGCAGGAAACAACGUCGGUCAGACACAACAGAGGAGGAGCAGGCAAGACCAGUCGACUUCGAGACUAGGAGCUAGAUGGAAUAGGGCAUGAGGCGCUGGAUGCAGGAGAAAGAUAAGAAAAAAACAUAUAGCAGAUGCAGAUGGUGGGCUGGGCUUAGGCAGGCAGACUGGUUUAAUAUGGGCUAGCUGGACGAAUGAAGGCAAGGGCAUAUAAGUAAUUACAUAAAUAGGUUAAUUAAUUUUAAAUACUUACCAACGCAGAGUCUUUUAUUAUCAGUCUGAUUGCUCCAAGCUCAAGAUCCUCUGUUUUUCAAUUCUUGCUUUCUACCCUGUCGUGAUCGCCAAUACAUCAACACAAGACUUCGAAAACUUCAUCUCCCUUCUUUCUUUGCAUACAGGUUUGAUUCUUAACUGCACGCAAGAUAUGAUCUCCAAGAAAUCAGUCGCGAUGAUGCACAAAUCCAUUUUAUUUGUUUGUCCUUGGUGGAUUUUUAGGGUUUUCUUUUUAGAUUUCCUUUUAUUUUCGGUUGCCUUUGCUGGAGGAUAGGCUAAUGGAAAUCAAGAUUCUUGCUUUUAUCUAGUUAUGGUUUUGUUCUUUGAUUGCGGCAACUGAUGGAUUUUCAUAUAAUGGAUUCGACUGAUAUGUUGUCUUGAUAUGCUUUAUCUGGCUCCGGUUAAGGUUUUUGUAUUCAUCGUUUCCGUGGUGUUAAAGAAAACAGAUUGGGCAGAGAAUGUGGAUAUCGUUUGAUAUAUCAGUUAUAUGGUAUCGUCUGUUCAUCCUACUAUUGUGUUUUGUCUUUCUAGCAUGGAUGCGAAGAUUGCGACCAUUCAUUCACGACUUGGAGGAGGACCUGCGCCCAGCAAAGUUGUUUGUUCUCACUGAAAGAUGGGGAAUUGCAAU